UACGUAGGGUCCGAGCGUUGUCCGGAAUUAUUGGGCGUAAAAGGGCUCGUAGGCGGUCUGUCGCGUCGGGAGUGAAAACUUACAGCUUAACUGUGAGCGUGCUUCCGAUACGGGCAGACUUGAGGUAUUCAGGGGAGAACGGAAUUCCUGGUGUAGCGGUGAAAUGCGCAGAUAUCAGGAGGAACACCGGUGGCGAAGGCGGGUCUCUGGGCCGUAACUGACGCUGAGGAGCGAAAGCGUGGGGAGCGAACAGG
rnacentral:rRNA from 1 species